UACGUAGGGGGCAAGCGUUGUCCGGAUUUAUUGGGCGUAAAGAGCGUGUAGGCGGCUUCACAGGUCCGCUGUGAAAACUCGAGGCUCAACCUCGAGCUGUCGGUGGAAACCGUGUGGCUAGAGUCCGGAAGAGGAGAGUGGAAUUCCCGGUGUAGCGGUGAAAUGCGCAGAUAUCGGGAAGAACACCCGUGGCGAAGGCGGCUCUCUGGGACGGUACUGACGCUGAGGAACGAAAGCUAGGGGAGCAAACAGG
rnacentral:rRNA from 1 species